UUAAAUUGAAGAGUUUGAUCAUGGCUCAGAUUGAACGCUGGCGGCAGGCCUAACACAUGCAAGUCGAACGGUAACAGGAAGCAGCUUGCUGCUUCGCUGACGAGUGGCGGACGGGUGAGUAAUGUCUGGGAAACUGCCUGAUGGAGGGGGAUAACUACUGGAAACGGUAGCUAAUACCGCAUAACGUCGCAAGACCAAAGGGGGGGGACCUUCGGGCCUCUUGCCAUCGGAUGUGCCCAGAUGGGAUUAGCUUGUUGGUGGGGUAACGGCUCACCAAGGCGACGAUCCCUAGCUGGUCUGAGAGGAUGACCAGCCACACUGGAACUGAGACACGGUCCAGACUCCUACGGGAGGCAGCAGUGGGGAAUAUUGCACAAUGGGCGCAAGCCUGAUGCAGCCAUGCCGCGUGUAUGAAGAAGGCCUUCGGGUUGUAAAGUACUUUCAGCGGGGAGGAAGGGAGUAAAGUUAAUACCUUUGCUCAUUGACGUUACCCGCAGAAGAAGCACCGGCUAACUCCGUGCCAGCAGCCGCGGUAAUACGGAGGGUGCAAGCGUUAAUCGGAAUUACUGGGCGUAAAGCGCACGCAGGCGGUUUGUUAAGUCAGAUGUGAAAUCCCCGGGCUCAACCUGGGAACUGCAUCUGAUACUGGCAAGCUUGAGUCUCGUAGAGGGGGGUAGAAUUCCAGGUGUAGCGGUGAAAUGCGUAGAGAUCUGGAGGAAUACCGGUGGCGAAGGCGGCCCCCUGGACGAAGACUGACGCUCAGGUGCGAAAGCGUGGGG
rnacentral:rRNA from 1 species